rnacentral:rRNA from 1 species
UACGUAGGGUGCAAGCGUUAAUCGGAAUUACUGGGCGUAAAGCGUGCGCAGGCGGUUGUGCAAGACCGAUGUGAAAUCCCCGGGCUUAACCUGGGAAUGGCAUUGGUGACUGCACGGCUAGAGUGUGUCAGAGGGGGGUAGAAUUCCACGUGUAGCAGUGAAAUGCGUAGAGAUGUGGAGGAAUACCGAGUGGCGAAGGCAGCCCCCUGGGAUAACACUGACGCUCAUGCACGAAAGCGUGGGGAGCAAACAGG